rnacentral:rRNA from 1 species
CUACGGGGCGCUCCAGUGGGGAAUCUUGGACAAUGGGCGCAAGCCUGAUCCAGCCAUGCCGCGUGAGUGAAGAAGGCCUUAGGGUCGUAAAGCUCUUUCGCCAGAGAUGAUAAUGACAGUAUCUGGUAAAGAAACCCCGGCUAACUCCGUGCCAGCAGCCGCGGUAAUACGGAGGGGGUUAGCGUUGUUCGGAAUUACUGGGCGUAAAGCGCGCGUAGGCGGAUUAGUCAGUCGGAGGUGAAAUCCCAGGGCUCAACCCUGGAACUGCCUUUGAUACUGCUAGUCUUGAGUUCGAGAGAGGUGAGUGGAAUUCCGGGUGUAGAGGUGAAAUUCGUAGAUAUUCGGAGGAACACCAGUGGCGAAGGCGGCUCACUGGCUCGAUACUGACGCUGAGGUGCGAAAGUGUGGGGAGCAAACAGGAUUAGAUACCCCCGUAGUC